rnacentral:rRNA from 1 species
GAUGAACGCUGGCGGCGUGCCUAAUACAUGCAAGUCGAGCGAACAGACGAGGAGCUUGCUCCUCUGACGUUAGCGGCGGACGGGUGAGUAACACGUGGAUAACCUACUUAUAAGACUGGGAUAACUUCGGGAAACCGGAGCUAAUACCGGAUAAUAUAUUGAACCGCAUGGUUCAAUAGUGAAAGACGGUUUUGCUGUCGCUUAUAGAUGGAUCCGCGCCGCAUUAGCUAGUUGGUAAGGUAACGGCUUACCAAGGCAACGAUGCGUAGCCGACCUGAGAGGGUGAUCGGCCACACUGGAACUGAGACACGGUCCAGACUCCUACGGGAGGCAGCAGUAGGGAAUCUUCCGCAAUGGGCGAAAGCCUGACGGAGCAACGCCGCGUGAGUGAUGAAGGUCUUCGGAUCGUAAAACUCUGUUAUUAGGGAAGAACAAAUGUGUAAGUAACUAUGCACGUCUUGACGGUACCUAAUCAGAAAGCCACGGCUAACUACGUG